GACGAACGCUGGCGGCGUGCUUAACACAUGCAAGUCGAACGGAAAGGCCUCAGUUUGCUGGGGUACUCGAGUGGCGAACGGGUGAGUAACACGUGGGUAAGCUGCCUUUCACUCAGUGAGAAACUUGGGAAACUGGGGCUAAUACCGGAUAUGAACUCCUUUUAGGUGGGGUGUUGUAAAGAGUUUUCGGUGCGGGGUGGGUUCGCGGCGUAUCAGCUUGUUGGUGGGGUAUUGGCCUACCAAGGCGUCGACGGGUAGCCGGCGUGAGAGGGUGUCCGGCAACAUUGGGCCUGAGAUACGGCCCAGAGUCCUACGGGAGGCAGCAGUGGGGAAUAUUGCACAAUGGGCGGAAGCCUGAUGCAGCGACGCCGCGUGCGGGAUGACGGCCUUCGGGUUGUAAACACCUUUCGCCAGGGACGAAGCUUUAUUGACGGUAACCUGUAAAAGAGCAACGGGUUACUUCGUG
rnacentral:rRNA from 1 species